CUGUUUGCGGGGAAAACACAGUUACCUCGAACGCAUUCAGCCCAAUACGCCCAUUGCUUAUUGAGCAGCCCAGGCCCAUAUUCUCGAAGCUGCCUUCCUAGGGUUUCGCUUCUUGUAACCCCCCAGUGCGCCUCUUCUUCUCCCACUUCCUCCACUCCCCACCACAAGACCGCCGCCGCCGCCCCCGCCCCCGCCCCAGGAGGAGGAGAAGCAGCAGGCGCGAGAAGGAGAUCUCGCGAGGGGUCGACCGACCAUGAGGGCCAAGUGGAAGAAGAAGCGCAUGAGGAGGCUGAAAAGGAAGCGCCGAAAGAUGAGGCAGCGAUCUAAGUAAGCUGAUUGAGGUGGUGGUGAUGGUGUGCUGUAGCUAGCUAUGUUUGUCUUUGGCUGCGGCUGACUGCGGAUAUACUUUCUUGGCACGAUGGCACCAUUCAUCCCAUCUGUCAACUCGCUUAUUCCAGAAACCUGCACUUUAGUAGGCCUGUUAUCGUUGCUUUUAGUUGUAUCAGGAGUUUUGCUAUCAUGACCAAUCUAUGGAACCGUAUGAACACUGUUUUGGAGCUUUAUUUGCUGCUAAUAUUUGGCCAUCGAGUA